rnacentral:rRNA from 1 species
UGGGGAAUAUUGCACAAUGGAGGGAACUCUGAUGCAGCGACGCCGCGUGAACGAAGAAGGCUUUCGAGUCGUAAAGUCCUUUUAUAUGGGCAGAUAAUGACGGUACCAUAAGAAAAAGCCCCGGCUAACUACGUGCCAGCAGCCGCGGUAAUACGUAGGGGGCUAGCGUUGUCCGGAAUCACUGGGCGUAAAGGGUUCGCAGGCGGAAAUGCAAGUCAGGUGUAAAAGGCAGUAGCUUAACUACUGUAAGCAUUUGAAACUGCAUAUCUUGAGAAGAGUAGAGGUAAGUGGAAUUUUUAGUGUAGCGGUGAAAUGCGUAGAUAUUAAAAAGAAUACCGGUGGCGAAGGCGACUUACUGGGCUCAUUCUGACGCUGAGGAACGAAAGCGUGGGUAGCAAACAGG